GAUGAACGCUAGCGACAGGCCUAACACAUGCAAGUCGAGGGGCAGCACAUGAGUAGCAAUACGAUGGUGGCGACCGGCGCACGGGUGAGUAACACGUAUGCAACCUGCCUUCUACUAUGGGAUAACCCGUUGAAAGACGGACUAAUACCGUAUAAUACAGGGGCUCCGCAUGGAGAUAUUUGUUAAAGAUUUAUUGGUAGAAGAUGGGCAUGCGUAUGAUUAGAUAGUUGGUGAGGUAACGGCUCACCAAGUCAACGAUCAUUAGGGGUUCUGAGAGGAAGGUCCCCCACACUAGUACUGAGACACGGACCAGACUCCUACGGGAGGCAGCAGUGAGGAAUAUUGGUCGAUGGACGAGAGUCUGAACCAGCCAAGUCGCGUGAAGGAAGAUGGUUCUAUGAAUUGUAAACUUCUUUUGUGCAGGAAUAAAGUGGGUUACGUGUAACCUUUUGUAUGUACUGUACGAAUAAGGAUCGGCUAACUCCGUGCCAGCCGCCGCCGUAACAC
rnacentral:rRNA from 1 species